CUACGGGGCGCUGCAGUGGGGAAUAUUGCACAAUGGGCGCAAGCCUGAUGCAGCCAUGCCGCGUGUAUGAAGAAGGCCUUCGGGUUGUAAAGUACUUUCAGCGGGGAGGAAGGGAGUAAGGUUAAUACCUUUGCUCAUUGACGUUACCCGCAGAAGAAGCACCGGCUAACUCCGCGCCAGCAGCCGCGGUAAUACGGAGGGUGCAAGCGUUAAUCGGAAUUACUGGGCGUAAAGCGCACGCAGGCGGUUUGUUAAGUCAGAUGUGAAAUCCCCGGGCUCAACCUGGGAACUGCAUCUGAUACUGGCAAGCUUGAGUCUCGUAGAGGGGGGUAGAAUUCCAGGUGUAGCGGUGAAAUGCGUAGAGAUCUGGAGGAAUACCGGUGGCGAAGGCGGCCCCCUGGACGAAGACUGACGCUCAGGUGCGAAAGCGUGGGGAGCAAACAGGAUUAGAUACCCUUGUAGUC
rnacentral:rRNA from 1 species